rnacentral:rRNA from 1 species
AUACAUAAGUCUCGAGCGUUACCCGGAAUCAUUGGGUGUAAAGGGUCCGUAGGCGGAUUGAAAAGUUGGAAAUGAAAGACCGGGGCUCAACCUCGUGUUUGUCUUCAAAACUCUCAAUCUAGAAUUAGGGAGAGGUAAGCGGAAUUCUAAGUGUAGGGGUGCAAUCCGUAGAUACUUAGAGGAACACCGAAAGCGAAGGCAGCUUACUGGAACUAUAUUGACGCUGAGGGACGAAAGCGUGGGUAGCAAACAGGAUUAGAAACCCUAGUAGUCC